UACGUAGGGGGCAAGCGUUGUUCGGAAUUACUGGGCGUAAAGCGCGCGUAGGCGGACCUGCAAGUCGGGGGUGAAAGCCCGAGGCUCAACCUCGGAACUGCCUUCGAUACUGCGGGUCUCGAGUCCGGGAGAGGUGAGUGGAAUUCCUAGUGUAGAGGUGAAAUUCGUAGAUAUUCGCAAGAACACCAGUGGCGAAGGCGGCUCACUGGCCCGAUACUGACGCUGAGGCACGAAAGCGUGGGGAGCAAACAGG
rnacentral:rRNA from 1 species